rnacentral:lncRNA from 1 species
CUGAUCUGGAAAAUACAAGCCUCCCAAAUCCGGGGCUCAGAGCAUGAUACACCAAGGCCCUCCCAUGAGGAGACUCGGAGCACCAGCCACUAUGGCCAGCUUUGCCCUCAAAGGACACUGGAGGGGCCACACCUGGCAGUAGACACAAGACAGGUAAUUCGUUCUUGGGGACCCUGGAGCCCACCGGGGCCCCACUUCCCAUGACAG